rnacentral:rRNA from 1 species
AGAGUUUGAUCAUGGCUCAGAUUGAACGCUGGCGGCAUGCCUAACACAUGCAAGUCGAACGGAAGUAGCAAUACUUCAGUGGCGGACGGGUGAGUAAUACAUAGGAAUCUGCCCUUAAGUGGGGGAUAGCCCGGGGAAACCCGGAUUAAUACCGCAUGAUCUCGUAAGAGCAAAGUGGGGGAUCGCAAGACCUCACGCUUUUGGAGGAGCCUAUGUCGGAUUAGCUAGUUGGUAGGGUAAUGGCCUACCAAGGCAACGAUCCGUAACUGGUCUGAGAGGAUGAUCAGUCACACCGGAACUGAGACACGGUCCGGACUCCUACGGGAGGCAGCAGUGGGGAAUAUUGGACAAUGGGCGAAAGCCUGAUCCAGCAAUGCCGCGUGUGUGAAGAAGGCCUUCGGGUUGUAAAGCACUUUAGGUCGGAAAGAAAAAGCUUCACCUAAUACGUGAAGCCUCGACGGUACCGACAGAAUAAGCACCGGCUAACUCUGUGCCAGCAGCCGCGGUAAUACAGAGGGUGCAAGCGUUAAUCGGAUUUACUGGGCGUAAAGCGUGCGUAGGCGGUUCAUUAAGUCGGAUGUGAAAGCCCUGGGCUCAACCUAGGAAUUGCAUUCGAUACUGAUGGACUAGAGAUCGGUAGAGGGCGGCGGAAUUCCGGGUGUAGCAGUGAAAUGCGUAGAUAUCCGGAGGAACACCGAUGGCGAAGGCAACCGCCUGGGCCUGAUCUGACGCUGAGGCACGAAAGCGUGGGGAGCAAACAGGAUUAGAUACCCUAGUAGUCC